CCCCCGGUGUGUUACUGAUAUUUUAAGAACAAGCCAUACCCCAAAUCGUUUCUGCUGAGGCAUUCCUGGUGCCUCCUGAUUUGGUAGGGUACGGGAGAGCACUGAAAAGGCCCUCUGCUGACUUGAGACAGAAGGCAAAAGUUGAUGAAUUCCAGCUUUGUGGCCACGUGGUGUCAGAUGAAUAUGAAGGCCUGGAGGUAAAGAGUUGUGGCAAGAAUCACUUUCAUAUUCAAGUGAGGCUCUGCCCUUUCCAUGCCAUCUGAGCCAACAAGAUGUCCUGUGCUGGGGCUGACAGGCUUCAGACAGGUAUGAGUGAGUGGUGCCUUUGGGAAUCCCAGGUCCAGUGGCCAGGGUUUAUGUUGGCCAGGUCAUCAUGUCCAUCCAUACCAAGCUGCAGAGUAAGGAACAUGUGAUUGAGACUACAUAGAGCCAAGUUCAAGUUCUCUGACUACCAGAAGAUCCACGUCUGAGAGAAGUAGGGUAUCACCAGGUUUAAUGCAGAUGAAUUUUGAAGACAUGGUCUCUGAAAAGCAGCUCAUUUCUGAUAGCAUCACAAAAAUCCCCAGGAGCAGUCCCCUAGACAAGUGGCAGGCCCUGCAUUUUUGA
rnacentral:lncRNA from 1 species